UGAGUAACGCGUGGGUAACCUGCCUUAUACAGGGGGAUAACAGUCAGAAAUGGCUGCUAAUACCGCAUAAGCGCACAGAGCUGCAUGGCUCAGUGUGAAAAACUCCGGUGGUAUAAGAUGGACCCGCGUUGGAUUAGCUGGUUGGUGGGGUAACGGCCCACCAAGGCGACGAUCAGUAGCCGGUCUGAGAGGAUGAACGGCCACACUGGAACUGAGACACGGUCCAGACUCCUACGGGAGGCAGCAUG
rnacentral:rRNA from 1 species